CCUUUUAAAGUCUACACUCUAAAGUCUUUGGACAUAGUUCACGUUAUCAGAUCUUAGAGAAUGUUCUAAUUUUGAUCGAUGUCGAUGGUCUCAAUUGUUAUAGUUCUUGUUGUCAGAGUAUAUAGAUGAUUCUUUUCCAAUAGUAGAGUGAUAUUGGCACAUAGUAUAUACUUAUAGAAAAUUACUAGAAACUAGAUAAAUGCUUGUUGGGUUGAGAUACAAAUUUUAUUUUGAAAACUACUUAUCUUGGUUACAUGACUAACUACUCUUAUCAACAAUUUACUUCAUUUAUUUCUCGGUUAAACAAGUUAUCUAUGUGCUAAUACAUGAGCUAUCAAGAGAUUUCAAGAGAAUAUGAAGAAGGAGAACGAUGAAAUAACUAGUCUGCUUACUGCCGUGGGAUGCAACCUCGUGGGCUCUGCUAAUGGAAAAACAAGUAUGUUUCUCUAAUAAAUUUGCUCUGAGAUUAAAUUUUUUAUUAAUUACUAAUUAAUAUUAUUCUUGCCAUAAGUUCUUCACUUUGUGUAUGUCAACAAGAGCGAAAGAACUUUUCAUACAUUACACUGAUAAGCGAAAUGACAACAUGAAGAGGCUCUAAGCGAAUCGUUUCUUGGAUGUAGCUUGCUUGGUUCUACAAGGACAAGUGAGUUUUCCGCCCUCUGUUUGCUGCUUUAAAUUUUGAUUUGGACUUGCUAGGGACUAAUCUAGAUUGUUCAUUUACAGUACUAGAUUUUACAGAUGCACCCAUCAUAAAAAGAUCUAUUCACCACUUCAAGAACCAGCAACAGAGAUCACAGAGAAACAAAAGAACUAAUAGGGCUAAACACAUGAUAAAAAAUGAGCAGACUGAAGAUGAAGAUGAGAAGAGUAACAUCUUUGACAAAGCAUACAAGAAGUAUCUAGAUAAUCCUAAACGGAUAAUUUCUUGUAAGUAUUAGAAGAACGAUGAUGGCUCCAGUAUCAAAUAGAUUCUGACGAACCAAACGGUUAUGAGGGAUCAAAGUGUGCUUUGUGAUGGAAAAUUGACGAACUUUGCAUGCUUUUAAGAAACAGAGCUUUAAGAGAAACCAAAAAGUUACGAGAAGAUACACAUGAUCGAUCCUAAAAACACGACGAAAAGAUGACAACAACAAUGUUAUCAUCUCAGAUAUCAAGAGGCUCAAGAGAAAGGAUACCAAAUCUGCUAAAGACACUAAUGAGUGGAAAAAACACUGUUACGAGAUCAGAUAGCAUCAAUAUGUUUAAGGGAACGAUAUCAAAUCUGUUAUAGUGACUGACGAGAAGGAGGACAACAAAACUAUUACGAGAUCAGAUAGCAUCAAUAGGUUUAAGGGAAAUGAUCCAAAUUUGAUAUAGUGA
rnacentral:lncRNA from 1 species